GAGUUUGAUCAUGGCUCAGGACGAACGCUGGCGGCGUGCUUAACACAUGCAAGUCGAACGGUAAGGCCCCUUCGGGGGUACACGAGUGGCGAACGGGUGAGUAACACGUGGGUAAUCUGCCCUGCACUUCGGGAUAAGCUUGGGAAACUGGGUCUAAUACCGGAUAUGAGCUCCUGCCGCAUGGGUGGGGGUUGGAAAGUUUUUCGGUGCAGGAUGAGCCCGCGGCCUAUCAGCUUGUUGGUGGGGUAAUGGCCUACCAAGGCGACGACGGGUAGCCGGCCUGAGAGGGUGAUCGGCCACACUGGGACUGAGACACGGCCCAGACUCCUACGGGAGGCAGCAGUGGGGAAUAUUGCACAAGUGGGCCGAAGCCUGAUGCAGCGACGCCGCGUGGGGAUG
rnacentral:rRNA from 1 species